rnacentral:lncRNA from 10 species
UUCUGUUCCCGGGUGGCUUCGGACCCCUGUCGGAUCGGAAAUCCCAAGCUCCAGUAGAUUGCAAAUGACCUGCUUACUUUCUGUUCCCGGGCUGCGUUCUGACACCUGUCGGAUAGUAAAUCCCAAGUAAGGUACCAGCCGUCGGCAGAUUUGAGCUUUCUUCUUGGACACCUAUACCCACAGUCCUCCAGGGUUUUAGACGCCCAGCUGCACAACUUGAUUGCCUUACAAAUGACCUGCUUCCAGGAUGCGGAAAUUCCUAAUUUCUUCUGUGACCCUUCUCAACUCCCCCAUCUUGCAUGUUGUGACACCUUCACCAAUAACAUAAUCAUGUAUUUCCCUGCUGUCAUAUUUGGUUUUCUUCCCAUCUCUGGGACCCUUUUCUCUUACUAUAAAAUUGUUUCCUCCAUUCUGAGUGUUUCAUCAUCACGUGGGCAGUAUAAGGCCUUCUCCACCUGUGGGUCUCACCUGUCAGUUGUUUGCUGAUUUUACGGAACGGGCGUUGGAGGGUACUUCAGUUCAGAUGUGUCAUCUUCCCCGAGAAAGGCUGCAGUGGCCUCAGUGAUGUACACGGUGAUCACCCCAUGCUGAACCCCUUCAUCUACAGCCUGAGAAACAGGCAUAUUAAAAGUGUCCUGCGGCGGCCGCACAGC